UGAAACACACCACAAUGUACAGAAAGCUUGCACUGCCUGAGAAAUGUAAGCACUAGUGGGAAGCAGAAAGAUCAGUAUUGGCAGUGACUUACAUCACUAAGGACAGGAUUCUAAUCAAAACUGUGUUUCAGUACAUGAGGGAUUGAAGGGCCUCGUCCUUGAGUGGGCAGGAAGGACCACUACUAAGCUAAAACCCCGGCCC